CACAAUUGGCACAGUCAGCUGGAUAAACUUUUCAGCUGGAUUCUGCUCUCUCAGAGGCUGCUGCAGCUGAGAGAUCCUGGGACAUCUGACAAGCACCAGCAGAAGGAUAAACAUCAGAGACCAGAGCAACACCCUAUACCCAGAUCUUUCCAGUGUCAUUGAUGAUGGCUAUCAGCAUAGACUCUCUGCCCAGGGUCAUCACACUCCUAAGGAACUCGAAAGACCAAAGUUAUCAUCUUACAGCAGUUGGGAGGGGCCAUAAAGCCUACAGAGAUGUAUACCUCCUGGAGGGUGCAUAUCCAGCUGGGUUAGUUAAUCGGGUUGCUCAAAGUUACUGUAGGGUUUCUUUUCUACAGUAUAACUUCCCUUAUGUCAACCUCUUGUUGAGCCAGUAUCACCUCGUCUGCACUCUCCUUUGGGAAUACCUCUUGCAUCCAUGGUUAAGUCAUAAAUAGGCUUAUUGGUUUGAGUUGCUAUUAACAUCCUACUUAUCAAUGGCCAGAUGAUGGAUCCUUUGAAUUGAAAAAACUUCUACAUUGGAAAAAAUUUUUAGAGAUCUCUCAUAUUCGUUUAAUGAGUAGUCUUUAAGACUUCCUUAAUAUGAUGGAAGGAGAGAAAUUAGAACAAAAAUCAAAGGCCACUCAGACCCCUUCCUAUUUACCUUUAGACUUUUGCAGAUAUUGUAAAAAAAAAAAAAAAAAAAUCAAGAUAUCGGAAGUACAAUUGUCUAGCACUCAGACAGAAAAGGAAAAAAGAUAAUAUAACAGCUAGACUUAUGGACUCCUUAACAGACGAAAGAACAAAAGUUUAGACUUAAGACUCCAACAUAAAACCCCUUCUUAAAAUCUGGGCCCAUCCUCCUGUUGUUUUUUUUUUUUUAAGUCUUUUUAUUGUGGUCUAAAUAGUUUAUAACAUUGUGAAAUUUCAGUUGUACGUUAAUAUUUGUCAAACACGAUAUAAAUCUGCUCCUGCAUGCCCCGUGCCCACCCUGCCCCACACCCUCCCUCUAGUAACCACUAAAUUGUUCUCUUUGUCCGUAAGUUUGUUUAUAAACCACACACGAGUGAAAUCAUACAGUGUUUGUCUUUCUCUGUCUGGCUUAUUUGCUUAACGUGAUGCCCUCCAGAUCCAUCCAUGUGGUUGUGAAUGGGACAAUUAUGUCUUUUUUUAUGUUUGAGUAGGAGUCCAUUGUAUAUACAUAUACCACAUCUUCUUUAUCCAUUCAUCAGUUCUUGGGCAGUGGGGUUGCUUCCAUGUCUUGGCUAUUGCAAAUAAUGCUGCAAUGAACAUAGGGCGGCAUAAGUCUCUUUGAAUUGUUGAUUUCAAGUUCUUUGGAUAAACACCCAGCAGUGAGAUAGCUGGGUGAUAUGGUAUUUCUGUUUUUAAUUUUUUGAGAAAUCUCCAUACUGUUUUCCACAGUGGCUGCACCAGUUUGCAUUCGCACCAGCCGUGGAUGAAGGUUCCCUUUUCUCCACAACCUCUCCAACAUUUGUUGUUUUCUGUCUUGGUGAUUAUAGCCAUUCUAAUGGGUGUAAGAUGGUAUCUAAAUGUAGCUUUGAUUUUUAUUUCCCUGAUGAUUAGUGAUGUUGAGCAUCUUUUCAUGUGCCUAUUGGCCAGCUUUAUAUCUUCUUUGGAAAAAUGUCUGUUCAUAUCCUCUGCCCACUUUUUGAUUGGGUUGUUUAUUUUUUUGUAGAUCAGUUGUGUGAGUUCUUUAUAUAUUAUGGUGGUUAACCCCUUAUCAGAUGUAUGAUUUGCAAAUAUUUUCUCUCAGUUGGUGGAUUGCUUUUUCAUUUUGAUCUUGGUUUCCUUUGCCUUCCAGAAGCUCUUUAGUCUGAUGAAGUCCCACUUGUUUAUCUUUUUUUUGUUUUCCUUGUCUGAGUGGACAUCCUAUUUGUAAAGAUCCUUUUAAGGCUAAUGUCAAAAAAUAUACUGCUUAUAUUUUCUUCCAGAAGAUUUAUGGUUUCAGGUUUUGCCUUCAAAUCUUUGAUCCAUUUUGACUCUAUUUUUGUGUAUGGAGAAAGAUAAUGGACUACUUUCAUUCUUUUGCAUGUGGCUGUCCAGUUUUCCCAGCACCACUUAUUGAAGAGACCUUCCUUUCUCCCUUAUAUGUUCUUGGCUCCUUUGUCGAAGAUUAGCUGUCCAUAGAUGUGUGGUUUUAUUUCUGGGCUUUAAAUUCUGUUCCAUUGAUCUGUGUGCCUGUUUUUGUACCUGUACUAUGCUGUUUUGAUUACCAUAGCUUUGAAAUAUGUUUUGACGUCAGGGAUUGCAAUGCCACCAGCUUCGUUCUUGUUUCCCAGGAUUGCUUUGGCUAUUUGGGGUCUUUUGCUGCCCCAUAGGAAUUUUAGGAUUCUUUGUUCUAUUUUUGUGAAAAAUGUCAUUGGGAUUCUGAUUGGGAUUGCUCUGAAUCUGUAGAUUGCUUUAGGUAGCAC
rnacentral:lncRNA from 1 species